rnacentral:lncRNA from 10 species
AUUUUCGCUUCCCCAGGUCGCGGCGGCGGGAGCAACAAGCAGCGGCUCGUGAGUCCGCGGCUCGCACCCAGGGGCGCCCGCACGUGCGGCUAGAACGUCCGAGUCGGGGUCCGGGGCGGGGGGCGCAGGCCCGCGGCGGUAGGGGAGGAGAGCGGGCACCCGAGUCUCCAUCCUCAGGGUGGCCUGAAGGUUCCAGGAGGGCGUCCGGCGAAGGCACGGGGCUGCGACCAUCCAGUUAGCAGGGCUGGUGUGACUGUUGAGAGUAAAUGAAAAUUCGUUUUGUGACACCGACCACCUCCAAGGAAUGAAAGGAGCAGUCAGCCGAAACGACAGCAUUACUUGCGUCCUUACCUAAUUGGAACCUUAUCCGUGGCUGAGGGUGCCACCAUUGGAGGGGCCGCCGCCCCCUCUGACACCACCUGGCGCUCCGCUCCAUUUAGGAGCUAGAACGAAAAGGAGGCCCAUCCCCCAGUAAGUCACAGCCCACGCCAAGAUGAGUUCUGGAGCCUGUGCGACCGAAGUUUCUUCACCGCAGGGCGAGGUGGACAAGGGUGUGAGUUACUUUGACUUCAAGACGUCUCAGUGGCGGCUGGUUCUGGAGAGAGGCUUUAUGCUGGAGCACUUCCAGCAAAGUUCGGCUGGGGCCUCCUUAACUCACUGGCUGGUCACCCUUGGCCUCGGUUUUCAACCAAAGCCUAAGGCCUCAGUUUUCAACGCUGUAAAUGGAAAUAAAUGAGAGAAGAAAGUACAGCCCGUGUGACAAGUGCAGCAAGCAAUGCAACUUCCUUGGGACCUACCCUUUGUGGUCCCUUGCUUUAAAAGUAUAGAUUCACAUUUAGUUAGACCUGUUUCUUCCUCGCAUGCAAUUUCACCAGUCUUUUCCCAGACUUCUGUACUCAACAGAGGAAGUUCCUUCCUGGGAGACCAUAGCUGUUUGUAUGUAAAGAGUUGCGAAAAAACAAAAGCAAAACAAAAAACUAUCAUAGCUUACUGUAACCUUGAACUCCUGGGAAGAAUGCAAAGUGUCACUUUGAACUUCUCGUUCACCACACACGUGGGAGUCCACUCAUGUCAGCAGCCUCCGUGCACAGGCCCCAGGUGAAAGAAAGAAUGAGGUCUAGUUGGACCAGCUAACACUGCCUGCCUUGUGUUUACGAAAGGCAGCUGCCUCUGUGGUGUGAUUUCAGGGGAGCCAGACAGGGCCGGGGCCACGAACCUGCAUCCUGCAUCCUAAGCACCUAUUGCCAUGCGUGAGGCUAACUGGAAACUCACUUGCUGGGUGCAGAUAGCUUCCAAACUAUUGUGAUGCUCAUGCUUGACUUCCCAAGGAACGUGUUUCAGGAAAGGCCAUUGCCCUCAUUAUGGUCUUUGAUAAGCAGGAAGAAGUUUGUUGUUCCUUUUUUUUCUUAAUGCCCUACUUCGUGCAACAUACAUCCAAUCAGUCAUAUCCUAUUGACGCUACCCCUAAAUAUCUCUGGGCCUGGCCCGUGCACCAGAAUAAGGGGUUUGCAUUUUAUUUUAAGAGCAAUAGGAAGACUUUAAAGGGUUCUAAAUAAGAUCGACUUGUGGUUUUAAAAACUGACACUAUACAUUUCCCAGUUGUCUCUGCAACAUCAAUGAAAUGCAAGAAUUUCUUCAGUUGUUGAUUUUUUUAAAAGUUUUUUAGAGUCAGGGUCUUUCCCUGUCACCCAGGCUGGAGUGCAAUGGCACAAUCACAGCUCACUGCAGCCUUUAACUUCUGGGUUCAAGCAAUCCUCCUGCCUCAACCACCUGAGUAGAUGGAACCAGAGGUGUGCACCACCAUGCCUGGAUAAUUUUCUUAUUUUUUGUAGGGACAGAGUCUCACUAUGUUGUCCAGGCUGGUUUCAGACUUCUGGCCUUAAAUGAUCCUCCGAAAUAAUAAGAAACUGUAAUAUUAUAAGUACAUAGUUCAGCUUCAUUAUGGGUUAAAAGAAGGGUUUGUGGGCUGGCAUGAGAAUACACCAGUUUAUAACAUUGUAUACUUGGGAAAAUUUCAUUCUGAAGUCUAAACUGCUAUUUUUUAGAAGAAACUGUUAGAGCACCCUGGGAUGUGUGGGCCUGGGACUGUUUGCCUUUGGCACGGCUAUGCUCCGAGCUUUGGAGGAGCCAAGGAAGAAAGGCCUAGUUCCUGAUCUUAAGGCCUUUGCAGUGUGCAUUGGGAGACAUAGACUGCAAUGAAAAGAUCAUUAUUGCAAGAGACAAAUGGCAUGGAGCCACAUU